AUUUCUACACUAAAUUUAAGCUAAUUGGCUCAGUAUAUGUGCCAGUUAAGACUUUUCAGUGCUGUUUUUCUACAGUCAGCAGAUUUGGGCCAGAUCCACUUACCACAUCAGAACCAAAGCUUCCAGAAAGACAGUUCCCUGAUGUGGCCCACAUCUGUAAUAUUGACCCAAACCACCUCCAAACUUGUGUGUCCCACUCUGGUUUACUGAACAGAGCCGAACGCGCGAAGUGAGUGAGGUCCGUCCGUUUGAGAGACGUUAUGCUGAUCUGGCCCUCAUCCGUACCACGGAUUAUAGCCAGAAACCGUUGGAAUAGAUCAAAUGAAACUUUUGUGGGGGUGCCCAUGCCAUAUUUCGUUAUUAAAUCCUGAUUUGUUAAAUCUUACAAUGGAACACUUGCACGUAGCCUACACAAAAAUGAUUAAUUCACUAACAAAGUAAUAGGCUUGUCUCAAAAUGGAAGAUUUACCACAUAACAAAAUAAUACAUUAGCAACUGUCCACUAUCCAAGUGCAAUGGUCCAAGCUGUAUUGCCAUCCUGGGAAGAAAAAAAGUUGCGAACAUCGUGGGAAAAAACGGCACUGGCGCACAUAAUGGAUGGCAGCAUGGGUACGUAUAUUGAUUUUUUAAUACUAUAUUUCGUUGGCAAUGGUGUGAUUAUGGUGAAUAUAGUGUUAUGGGACUGCAAGUUUCUGCUUUAAGUUUUAAUUUGCCCCAGGGGCGGUUCUAGACCCUUUUAAGUGGGGCUCCAGCCACCCUGCCGUCAUCUUAGCCCCCCUAAAAUUAGUCUUAAUAUUUCUACCAAACUAUCAAAUAUAUUUUUCUGAAGUUUUAUUUAUUUGUAAAAACAAUUAAUUCGAAGAUAAUUAUUAAAAAAACGCAAAAUGCAAGACAUUUAGAAAAAAAUUACGAGUUUAUGAGGCAUUUGAUUAGCUUUGCUGUUCUGCGCAUGCGUCGUAACCGUCAGUGGAGGAGAGCUCGAGCGCCUGUGCUUCAGGUCACACAGAGGGAGCAGUUGUUUCAUAAAAUAUCCAGCGUGGAAGCUCAGAAGGUGCAUUUACAGUCCAUCAUGACAUAAAAAAUCCUCUGCAUGCAACCACGAGGAGAGGGGGAAUUUACUAAGGAGUUUUGUCUAUAUAUUAUAUAAAAUCUACUGUUGGGAAGAGCAGAACCUAAUCCAAAUAAAAAUAAACAAGCUGUUAAAAGCCAGUUGAAGGUGGUCAACACAAACCAAAUGAAGAUGUUGCACAUUCCACAAACAAUAAAAAAGAAGAUCAAGUUUUGUGUCCAACACACUUGGAUGAGACGUGCCCGACCCCUGACUUUGUCUACCCUACAUUAAGUUGUGAUGGCACACUUCAUGACAGUAAACAUUGGUAUCAAGAUGAUGUGAUUGAUCUAUACCCUAGAAUAAGCUGUGACACUAUGAGACGGUGACAUAAUGAACAGCCAUCUUCCAGACAACCGAAACAGUAUUGUCUACAAUACCAAAUUCUGGAUUGACGCCCCAGUACCAGAAGGCACUCCAAUCCCAGAGAGCAUCCCAUUGUGAGGUAACACAACAAAAAAAUAACAGGAUGGAGACUACCUGAUUCUUCACCUAUGGCAUUAGCUUCAAAUGCAAGAAGUCCAGCAACUUUCUGAGCUGGUGGAUAUUCUAUCAGAGACUGCAUGAACAACGUUAUGAACAGAAUGAUGUCUAAUUGUCUUAUGGCAAAGUUCAAUAUGAGGGGUGGUGGACAUCUGGAAAAUAAGUCUUUUAAAGGCACACCUUUGUAUUAUGUUAUUCAAGGUAAUUUGGGGAAUAUGUUGAUCUAAAAAAAACUCUUGUUCUUGUAUAUUGAUGUAAUUUUUAUUACUAUGAUUUAUGUAUUUAGGGGACAUCACAGCUCACCUGUCUUUAUCAGAAAUAUCCUGUUCAUUUUUUGACAGUUACACACCUAGUUUAGGGUCUUUCUCAAGGGCACCACAGUGGGAUUGAAGAGCAAGGGUACAAAUGCUGUUGGUCUCACAACUGAUCUAACACUUAUUUAAAGCAUAACA